rnacentral:rRNA from 1 species
AGGAAGGAAGUCAUGCUAAUCGCUAUGAGCGGAAGCUAAAAAACCAAAAGUUAAGGCGAUAAAUAAGUACGCUUAUUCAUAGAAAGCUAGUUAAGUGAAUAAGGGCGCACGGUGGAUGCCUUGGCACUAGGAGCCGAUGAAGGACGGGACUAACACCAUAGC